GCUCAACCGAGGAAGUGCUUCGAAAACUGGUAAACUUGAGUGCAGAAGAGGAAAGUGGAACUCCAUGUGUAGCGGUGGAAUGCGUAGAUAUAUGGAAGAACACCAGUGGCGAAGGCGGCUUUCUGGUCUGUAACUGUCGCUGAGAUUCGAAAGCAUGGGUAGCAAACAGGAUUAGAUACCCUGGUAGUCCAUGCCGUAAACGAUGAGUGCUAAGUGUUGGAGGGUUUCCGCCCUUCAGUGCUGCAGCUAACGCAUUAAGCACUCCGCCUGGGGAGUACGAUCGCAAGAUUGAAACUCAAAGGAAUUGACGGGGGCCCGCACAAGCGGUGGAGCAUGUGGUUUAAUUCGAAGCAACGCGAAGAACCUUACCAGGUCUUGACAUACCAUGAAAAGCUAAGAGAUUAGUCUUUCCCUUCGGGGACAUGGAUACAGGUGGUGCAUGGUUGUCGUCAGCUCGUGUCGUGAGAUGUUGGGUUAAGUCCCGCAACGAGCGCAACUCUUAUUAUCAGUUGCCAGCAUUCAGUUGGGCACUCUGGUGAGACUGCCGGUGACAAACCGGAGGAAGGUGGGGACGACGUCAGAUCAUCAUGCCCCUUAUGACCUGGGCUACACACGUGCUACAAUGGUCGGUACAACG
rnacentral:rRNA from 1 species